GACAGAGGUGCCGAGCGUUAGGCGGAAUCACUGGGCUUAAAGCGUGUGUAGGCGGUCCGGUAAGUCCGUUGUGAAAGUCAAGGGCUCAACCCUUGAAUGCCGGCGGAUACUGUCGGGCUAGAGUCCGGAAGAGGCGAGUGGAAUUCCCGGUGUAGCGGUGAAAUGCGCAGAUAUCGGGAGGAACACCUAUGGCGAAGGCAGCUCGCUGGGACGGCACUGACGCUGAGACGCGAAAGCGUGGGGAGCAAACAGG
rnacentral:rRNA from 1 species